rnacentral:rRNA from 1 species
AGUGAACGCUGGCGGUAGGCCUAACACAUGCAAGUCGAACGGCAGCACAGUAAGAGCUUGCUCUUACGGGUGGCGAGUGGCGGACGGGUGAGGAAUACAUCGGAAUCUACUUUUUCUUGGGUGAUAACGUAGGGAAGCUUACGCUACUACCGCAUACGACCUACGGGUGAAAGCAGGGGAUCUUCGCACCUUGCGCGAUUGAAUGAGCCGAUGUCGGAUUAGCUAGUUGGCGGGGUAAAGGCCCACCAAGGCGACGAUGCGUAGCUGGUCUGAGAGGAUGAUCAGCCACACUGGAACUGAGACACGGUCCAGACUCCUACGGGAGGCAGCAGUGGGGAAUAUUGGACAAUGGGCGCAAGCCUGAUCCAGCAAUACCGCGUGGGUGAAGAAGGCCUUCGGGUUGUAAAGCCCUUUUGUUGGGAAAGAAAAGCAGCAGGUUAAUACCCCGCUGUUCUGACGGUACCCAAAGAAUAAGCACCGGCUAACUUCGUG